rnacentral:rRNA from 1 species
GGGGAAUAUUGCACAAUGGGCGAAAGCCUGAUGCAGCAACGCCGCGUGUGUGAAGAAGGUCUUCGGAUUGUAAAGCACUUUAAGUUGGGAGGAAGAGCAGUUACCUAAUACGUAAUUGUUUUGACGUUACCGACAGAAUAAGCACCGGCUAACUCUGUGCCAGCAGCCGCGGUAAUACAGAGGGUGCAAGCGUUAAUCGGAAUUACUGGGCGUAAAGCGCGCGUAGGUGGUUAGUUAAGUUGGAUGUGAAAUCCCCGGGCUCAACCUGGGAACUGCAUUCAAAACUGACUGACUAGAGUAUGGUAGAGGGUGGUGGAAUUUCCUGUGUAGCGGUGAAAUGCGUAGAUAUAGGAAGGAACACCAGUGGCGAAGGCGACCACCUGGACUAAUACUGACACUGAGGUGCGAAAGCGUGGGGAGCAAAC